rnacentral:lncRNA from 1 species
CACACACACAACCACGUCGACAACACACACUCACACACAACCACGGCGACGUAGCACACACACAAUCCGCGGCUUCACCAACAUGAACGACCAUCCAUGUUCGAUUCCUCCAUUGUCGCUUCUGUUGCAUCGUCUGCUUCUUCUGCUGCUGCUGCACGUCGAGCAGUUGGUUCGAAGCCACUCCGUCGCCACUGUUUUGUCGUCAACCAAGCAGACCACGCUGCUGCUUCUUCGUCGCAGCUGCUGCCCGUGUCCGCCAUUGACGCAGCCAUUUCUGCUCCUUCACCUGCUGCUCGACGUGCGCUGCUGCCUCUUCGCCAUGACCAGCACUGUUGUUCACGUUUUUGUUACUGUGUUGCUGCUAUUCCAUCGCUGCUGCCUUCCUUCUCGCGUCUAGCCAUGGCUUCUACUAUUCACGCAGCUGUGGCUGCAUCGUCACUUCAUAUUCUUCGCGAAAACCCUCCCAAACGCACCCCAACUGCUGCUGCUCACGUUUCCGCCAUGGACGAGCAAGCUUUGAUGCUGCCAUGGCCAGCUGCGGACUGCUGCUCCUUCCUCUCCAUCUUCUUCGUUUAUUCGUCGUUGUUUCGAAUCGGUUAGUUGGUUUAUGUUUUCAAAUUUCGUCCAUAUUUUUUUUGUUGUUCGUUGUUUUUCGGAUUCAAAAUCGAUAAAUGAUUCAAUGUUUGUUUUGUUU